GGUUACGUAGCUCAAUAAGGAUAGAGCAACUGCCUUCUAAGCAGUUGGUUGCAGGUUCGAAUCCUGCCGUGACCA
rnacentral:tRNA from 1 species